rnacentral:sRNA from 1 species
GCCAGGUGUGGAGGUGCACACCUGUAAUCCCAGCAGCUUGGGAUGCUGAGGCAGGAGGAUCGUGAAUUAAAAGCCAGCCUCAACAAAAGCAACUCAGUGAGACACCCUGUCUCUA